rnacentral:RNase_P_RNA from 1 species
AGGUGGCCGGGUAGCUGCGCCGCGGAAAGGAAAAUCCGUCGGUGAGGAAAGUCCGGGCUUCAUGGAAACAAAAUACCGGAUAACGUCCGGCCGGAGCAAUCCGAGGGAAAGCGCCACAGAAAAUUACCGCCGAAAACUUUUCGGUAAGGUUGAAAAGGCGAGGUAAGAGCUCACCGCUGUUUUAGCAAUAAAACAGGCAAGGCAAGCCCUAUUUGACGUAAGACCAAAUAAGGAUUAUCGGGUUUACCCCGACAGAGCGUUUCCAAUCUGUCCAAAGGUAGGUCGCUUCAAUUAAACCGGUAACGGUUUUUUCAGAUGAAUAGCUAUCGGUGUCGCAUUGCGACAUAUACAAAACCCGGCUUACAGGCCACCUGC